rnacentral:rRNA from 1 species
UGCGUGGAGCCAACCUUGAAAUACCACCCUUUAAUGUUUGAUGUUCUAACGUUGGCCCCUUACCGGGGUUGCGGACAGUGUCUGGUGGGUAGUUUGACUGGGGCGGUCUCCUCCCAAAGCGUAACGGAGGAGCACGAAGGUUAGCUAAUCCUGGUCGGACAUCAGGAGGUUAGUGCAAUGGCAUAAGCUAGCUUGACUGCGAGCGUGACGGCGCGAGCAGGUGCGAAAGCAGGUCAUAGUGAUCCGGUGGUUCUGAAUGGAAGGGCCAUCGCUCAACGGAUAAAAGGUACUCCGGGGAUAACAGGCUGAUACCGCCCAAGAGUUCAUAUCGACGGCGGUGUUUGGCACCUCGAUGUCGGCUCAUCACAUCCUGGGGCUGAAGUAGGUCCCAAGGGUAUGGCUGUUCGCCAUUUAAAGUGGUACGCGAGCUGGGUUUAGAACGUCGUGAGACAGUUCGGUCCCUAUCUGCCGUGGGCGCUGGAGAAUUGAGGGGGGCUGCUCCUAGUACGAGAGGACCGGAGUGGACGCAUCACUGGUGUUCGGGUUGUCAUGCCAAUGGCACU